rnacentral:rRNA from 1 species
AUGCAAGUCGAACGAGCGAGAGAGAGCUUGCUUUCUCGAGCGAGUGGCGAACGGGUGAGUAACGCGUGAGGAACCUGCCUCAAAGAGGGGGACAACAGUUGGAAACGACUGCUAAUACCGCAUAAGCCCACGGGUCGGCAUCGACCAGAGGGAAAAGGAGCAAUCCGCUUUGAGAUGGCCUCGCGUCCGAUUAGCUAGUUGGUGAGGUAACGGCCCACCAAGGCAACGAUCGGUAGCCGGACUGAGAGGUUGAACGGCCACAUUGGGACUGAGACACGGCCCAGACUCCUACGGGAGGCAGCAGUGGGGAAUAUUGCACAAUGGGGGAAACCCUGAUGCAGCGACGCCGCGUGGAGGAAGAAGGUCUUCGGAUUGUAAACUCCUGUUGUUGAGGAAGAUAAUGACGGUACUCAACAAGGAAGUGACGGCUAACUACGUGCCAGCAGCCGCGGUAAAACGUAGGUCACAAGCGUUGUCCGGAAUUACUGGGUGUAAAGGGAGCGCAGGCGGGAAGACAAGUUGGAAGUGAAAUCCAUGGGCUCAACCCAUGAACUGCUUUCAAAACUGUUUUUCUUGAGUAGUGCAGAGGUAGGCGGAAUUCCCGGUGUAGCGGUGGAAUGCGUAGAUAUCGGGAGGAACACCAGUGGCGAAGGCGGCCUACUGGGCACCAACUGACGCUGAGGCUCGAAAGUGUGGGUAGCAAACAGGAUUAGAUACCCUGGUAGUCCACACCGUAAACGAUGAUUACUAGGUGUUGGAGGAUUGACCCCUUCAGUGCCGCAGUUAACACAAUAAGUAAUCCACCUGGGG